rnacentral:rRNA from 1 species
GUAGGUGGCAAGCGUUGUCCGGAAUUAUUGGGCGUAAAGCGCGCGCAGGCGGUCCUUUAAGUCUGAUGUGAAAGCCCACGGCUCAACCGUGGAGGGUCAUUGGAAACUGGGGGACUUGAGUACAGAAGAGGAAAGCGGAAUUCCAAGUGUAGCGGUGAAAUGCGUAGAGAUUUGGAGGAACACCAGUGGCGAAGGCGGCUUUCUGGUCUGUAACUGACGUUGAGGCGCGAAAGCGUGGGGAGCAAACAGGAUUAGAUACCCUGGUAGUCCACGCCGUAAACGAUGAGUGCUAAGUGUUAGGGGGUCUCCCGCCCCCUUAGUGCUGCAGCUAACGCAUUAAGCACUCCGCCUGGGGAGUACGGCCGCAAGGCUG